GAGCAUAGCGGCGGGCCUAAGACCCAUUCCCUUCCAUCCACGGAACCACGCCACAAAUUCACGUUAUCACAUUCCUGAAUUCACCGCUCAAAAUUUCAUCUCAUCUGAGCGCUUCCUUCCGCCGCGCCGGAAAUCAACACCGGCGGCGGCGGAAACCUAAACUACCGAAAUCUUGCACCAGAUCCUCCGUCUCCAUAACCUCGACCUGAAUUCCUCACUUAAUUCAACCGAAUCUCACGCGAUCGACCUAACCCGAGCAUUCCACUCACGAACCCUAAAUGCAACAACUCGAAUCAAACUCUCUGAACACAGAAUCUAAGCUCAACCGAUUGGGGAUUCGAUAUCCCAAGCUUCUAACUACUUCGUGGCACCAAGUUUAACGAGAAACAAUAUAAAGAUACACCUACCUGCUGGAGAAGACGGAGUCACCAGCGGAAUCUCGGUUUGGCUUGGUUUUAUAUGGAAGCAGAGUUUCAGAUUGCUUUGAUCUAUCCUAUUGAAAUUAUGUAGGUGAAACUUGCUGAAUGCAAGCGGGAUCUCGUUUGUGGAUCAAAAUCCGUCAUGGUCGCAACAAUUAUCAUCUUAAUUUCUCCAUCAACAACAUCACUAGUUGUGGUCCUGCCAGCAUCACCAACUGUGUUAUCCCAUCAUUAUUCUUCGAAUGCCCUGAGAAGUAUCUGGCCAGUAGCACCAUUAGGGCAAUAACAACAACAGUGAGUCCAACAAUACCAAUGAAGGUGGCUAAACCAUUCAAGUGGACCUGCAGAGGUGUUUCUUCACCAUUAUCUUCUGAAAUGCUAGCCAUUAGAAGGCCCCAUUCAUUAUUAAUUCCCACCUGUUACCAGCAUAGUACCACUGCCAUCUGCAGCCUUGCAACCAGACGUAAAAAAAAGUGUGUUUGCUGCAGUUUGGCAGGCUCUAUGUGUAUGGUUGAUGCAAGGCGGCUUCAUGAGCAAGAUGUUGUUGUUUGUGCAGCAGGUUUGAUGAAUGCUGCUGCAAUGUGUUCGCCAUCAUCUUGAUGUUAUUGUUGGUGAUUUGAUGAUGAGCCAAAACUGCAGCAUGAGGGCUCAUGGAAGAGCGUAGUUUGCAGGGUCGUGGGGUGACGCUCCAGGCAGGGAGAGACAUUUGGAACCCAGGUCAUGGUGACUUGAUGGAGGCUGGUGCAAGGCAAGCUGUAGGGCGCAUGAUUCUAGCAUGACCUAAUGAUGAUAUUUGGUGUUCUGAUGUAAAGCAUUGUUGUAGGAAAUAGGAAAACUGGCCAAGUAUAUGUGCUUGCAAGCGAUAUAAUGUAUUAAUGCAUCUUGUAUUUUAGGUUAAGGAAUGUCCAUGUAAUGCAUGAGAUUGUAUGUUUGGGCUGUAUGCACCAUGCUUGGUUUUGAUAGCAUAUUUGGCCUGAGGAAAUGAAAAAUGACUUGAGUAGAAACAUGGCAA